CCUACGGGUGGCUGCAGUGGGGAAUAUUGGACAAUGGGCGCAAGCCUGAUCCAGCCACGCCGCGUGAGUGAUGAAGGCCUUCGGGUCGUAAAGCUCUGUGGGGAGGGACGAACCGCUGUCGGUUAAUACCCGGCAGCAUGACGGUACCUCCUUAGCAAGCACCGGCUAACUUCGUGCCAGCAGCCGCGGUAAUACGAAGGGUGCAAACGUUGCUCGGAAUUAUGGGCGGAAAGCGUAGGUAGGCGGCUGUGAAAGCCCUCGGCUUAACCAAGGAAGUGCAUCCAAAACUGCUGAGCUUGAGUAGUUAAGAGGAUCGCGGAAUUCCCGGUGUAGAGGUGAAAUUCGUAGAUAUCGGGAGGAACACCAGUGGCGAAGGCGGCGAUCUGGGAACAUACUGACGCUGAGGUGCGAAAGCGUGGGGAGCAAACAGGAUUAGAUACCCCUGUAGUC
rnacentral:rRNA from 1 species